rnacentral:tRNA from 1 species
AUUAGGGUGGCAGAGCUCGGAAAUUGCGUGAGACUUCAAACCUUGUUCUCAGAGAUUCAAAUCCUCUCUCUAAUA